ACUUGCGAGCUACUGCUCAUAAUAUAAUGAUAAUGUAGGGGUGGCAGUGACUGAAGUUAGUUAUUUCAUGACGUUUUUGUACCAACAGUCAGCAGGCCUAUACGAGGGAAAUGGGUCAACUCCUAACAAAUUUGGUCCCCUAAAACUUAUAGAAAGAGCAUCUCUGAAUGAAACGAGCCACCAUUUUCCUUUAUCGUUUUUACUUCCUUGAUGCCUCAAAUGUAAACAAAUAAUUAAAAAUCCUACAUUUCUGUUACCAAGAUAAUAUUCUAGUUAAAGUUAUCGCAGAAACUUUAUUUGAGCUGCACAAGAUUUUUUUUACGACAUUUACCAAACUAAUUGUACACAAAAUGACCAACAUAUUUAUAAAGAAUCAUUAUAAAUUAAAUAACGAUGUCCGUGUGACUCUUUUAAGUUUCCUGUAAUAUAUUUUAUCUUCAGAUUUGUACUUUCAGGGCCCCCAAUCUUCCCAAAGAGAUUUGUGCCAUGUGCAGUUAUUAUUCAAUAAAUGAUGCCAAAAAUGGAGUGAGUGAACGUUGAAAAAUAUUACUUUUACAUUACAAAAUGCGAUGAAGCCCUUGCCGAUGUACGGUACAUUUUCCCUUUUCAUCCAGAUUGUGAGCAACAUUUGAUACCACCGCCUUCAACUAAUCCUUGAACUUUAUUUGUAUUUCUGGCGGCGUAACUA